AUUGAACGCUGGCGGCAGGCCUAACACAUGCAAGUCGAACGGUAACAGGAAGAAGCUUGCUUCUUUGCUGACGAGUGGCGGACGGGUGAGUAAUGUCUGGGAAACUGCCUGAUGGAGGGGGAUAACUACUGGAAACGGUAGCUAAUACCGCAUAACGUCGCAAGACCAAAGAGGGGGACCUUCGGGCCUCUUGCCAUCGGAUGUGCCCAGAUGGGAUUAGCUAGUAGGUGGGGUAACGGCUCACCUAGGCGACGAUCCCUAGCUGGUCUGAGAGGAUGACCAGCCACACUGGAACUGAGUCACGGUCCAGACUCCUACGGGAGGCAGCAGUGGGGAAUAUUGCACAAUGGGCGCAAGCCUGAUGCAGCCAUGCCGCGUGUAUGAAGAAGGCCUUCGGGUUGUAAAGUACUUUCAGCGGGGAGGAAGGGAGUAAAGUUAAUACCUUUACUCAUUGACGUUACCCGCAGAAGAAGCACCGGCUAACUCCGUG
rnacentral:rRNA from 1 species